ACGGAAUAGAUACCCUGGUAGUCCCAGCUGUAAACGAUGCAGGCUAGGUGUUUGGACGGCCACGUGCCGUUCUAGUGCCGCAGGGAAGCUGUUAAGCCUGCCGCCUGGGGAGUACGAUCGCAAGAUUGAAACUUAAAGGAAUUGGCGGGGGAGCACCACAAGGGGUGAAGCUUGCGGUUUAAUUGGAGUCAACGCCGGAAAUCUCACCGGGAGCGACAGCAGUGUGAAGGCCAGAUUAAAGGUCUUGCCAGACGAGCUGAGAGGAGGUGCAUGGCCGUCGCCAGUUCGUGCCGUGAGGUGUCCUGUUAAGUCAGGCAACGAUCGAGACCCGCAUCCUCUGUUGCAACCAGUUUUGAGCUGGGCACACUGAGGAGACCGCCACUGAUAAAGUGGAGGAAGGAGCGGGCCACGGCAGGUCAGUAUGCCCCGAAUCUCCCGGGCCACACGCGAGCUGCAAUGGCAGGUACAAUGGGUUCCGACCUCGAAAGGGGAAGGCAAUCUCGAAAACCUGCCGUAGUUGGGAUUGAGGGUU
rnacentral:rRNA from 1 species